rnacentral:rRNA from 1 species
UCCGGGUGCGUAAUAUAUGAAAAUUUACCCAAUAGAUUAGGAAAUUAAAAUACUAUAUAAAGAUUUAUCACUAUUGGAUGUUUUUGUACAUGAUUAGGUAGUUGGUUAGGUAAAAGCUGACCAAGCCGAUGAUCGUUAGUUGGUCUUAGCGGAUGAUCAGCCACAUUGGAACUGAAAUACGGUCCAAACUCUAGAAGCGGAGGCUGCAGUGGGGAAUAUUGGACAAUGAGCGAAAGCUUGAUCCAGCAAUAUUUUGUUUGUUUUAGCAAUGUAAAAGUUGCGGGACAAUGUUGUUAGCUAAAUUUAAAGAAAUAAAUCGUGAAGAGAUUAUGACAAAAGCUAAAGAGGAAGCCCUGGCUAACUUCGUGCCAGCAGCAGCGGUAAUACGGGGGGGGCGAGCGUUAUUCAUCUUGAAUGGGCG